AGUGGAACAACAUAGAAACAUUCAUAUUGUUUAUGUUUUAAAUAUUUUUCAUAUUUGCAAAAAGGCACUUUGCUGUAUGUGGUUGAAAAGGCUCUGAUGAGCUCAGUAAUCUUUUCAGACUACAUACAGUUUUGCUUAGAACUGAAGAUCUGCCUCAUUUCUAGGUGAAAUUUGGAAACCUUUUUAAAAACAUGAUUAAAAUAGCAGUGUUGUUUCUGUGUCCUAAGUCAGUUUGAUUCUUAUCAUAAGCCUGACAAUACCAUUUCUUUUGAGGUUGUACCUUAGUUUUAGUUGUGCAUUUCAGUUUGACCAUCCUGUUUAUAAUUGUCCCACAUUGGUUAGCAGAUGUGUAGGUAUUUUAAUGGCAUUUGUGGUAGGCUUAUGACCUCUCAUUCAAAGUAGAGGUAAAUUAUAGCUGUCAUCCUUUUUUUGCAAGUGAUAAUUGGGAUCAUGUUUUCUUCUAUUUUUCUCAUUCAUAACUUACAGAGGACAUACCAUUCUGUGGUUCAGUUAGCAUAUAAUUGGGAACCAUCAUUACUGCAUUGACAUUUACUUGGUCUGGAGCUCAUUAAUACACCGGUGCUGUAAACUGUGUGCUGGCAUCCUAAAAGACGUUAGUUUUCUUUAAUGUCCUAUUUCUUUGUUAAUAAAAGCAUCACCAACUGUGUGGCCCAGAUGGGAGAAUUUGUUUAAAGCAUUGAGUUCUAUAUUGCAAGAAAACUUUUUUGUAUAUUGUAUUUUUCAAGCAUAGCUUUAGCAGUGAUUUCAUUAAGUUGGAUUAAAAAUAUAUAUUUGUAUACAGCAUUGGGUUUUCGCUGCAGAAAUUACUUUUUUUUUUCACUUUUUCUUCAGGGAUUACUUCUAAAGAAUGGAUAUUAGCAUUUAGAAGCUCCUAGUUACUUGCAAAAUACCAGUUUCCAUGGAAAAUGCUUGCUCUCAUAGAUACAAUGUGUCUAGCUUAUUAGCUUUUAGUGAAAACUAACAAGUGCUGUUGUGUUGGGGUAAUGUUGACACAAGCACCUGGGAGGUGGAUAUCCUUUUGCUCCAUGUUAUUUUGUUUUUUCUUUUAUGCAGAUUUGCUUUCAGCUUAGUACCUACUGCAGGCACCAAAUUAACAUUUGUUGAAUAAAUUAGGCAAAUGAAUGUAUGUCCUCUAAUCAGCUUAAGUCUUUAUUUGGGUCAGAGGUAUUACCAAGUAAUAUGACACAUUGUCCUACUAGCAAACAUGGUGAUUAACGUUGAUUACCAACACUAAUAUGUAGAGGCUGCUUACUAUAUACUUUGUGUAGGGAACUGAAUUAUUUGACCUGUUCUUUGGGAGGAUUAAGAAUUGCUAUGUUUUUCAUGUUCACUUAUCAAAAGACUGUCUUCUUAUCCACCAGUCUCCAGCUGCGUAGCUAUUAAGAAUGUAAGGAGGGAUCCCUGGGUGGCGCAGUGGUUUGGCGCCUGCCUUUGGUCCGGGGCGCGAUCCUGGAGACCUGGGAUCGAAUCCCACGUCGGGCUCCCGGUGCAUGGAGCCUGCUUCUCCCUCUGCCUGUGUCUCUGCCUCUCUCUCUCUCUCUCUCUCUGUGACUAUCAUAAAUAAAAAAAAAAAAAAAAAAAAAAA
rnacentral:lncRNA from 1 species